AACCUAGUGCUCGGGCUUGAUCUGGGCGCGUGAGGCUCUCGGCCGAUGCCAGACACUUGCUAGUUGAAAACUGACUCGUUCAACUAUUUUGACCCGGCUUCACCUGGUCCGUUGGGGCCGCGUGGCAAUCUUUGGACAUGUCGGCUGGCA
rnacentral:snRNA from 1 species